AUUUUAAGAGCGUACGGUGAAUGCCUAGACACUUUUAGACGAUGAAGGACGUUGCAAGGUGCGAUAAGCUUCGGGGAGGUCCUAAGCAACCUUUGAUCCGGAGA
rnacentral:rRNA from 1 species